UACGUAGGUGGCAAGCGUUGUCCGGAUUUACUGGGUGUAAAGGGCGUGCAGCCGGGCUGACAAGUCAGAUGUGAAAUCCCGCGGCUCAACCGCAGAACUGCAUUUGAAACUGUCAGUCUUGAGUACCGGAGAGGUCAUCGGAAUUCCUUGUGUAGCGGUGAAAUGCGUAGAUAUAAGGAAGAACACCAGUGGCGAAGGCGGAUGACUGGACGGCAACUGACGGUGAGGCGCGAAAGCGUGGGGAGCAAACAGG
rnacentral:rRNA from 1 species